AUUGAACGCUAGCGGGAUGCUUUACACAUGCAAGUCGAACGAGUGGCGGACGGGUGAGUAAUAUAUCGGAGCGUGCCAAGUAGCGGGGGAUAACUACGCGAAAGAGUGGCUAAUAGCGCAUACUAUUGGAGCGGCGGAUAUCGGAUUAGCUAGUUGGUGUGGUAAAGGAUGACCAAGGAAACGAUCCGUAGCUGGUGUGAGAGGACGACGUGCCACACGGGGACUGGGACACGGCCCAGACUCCUACGGGAGGCAGCAGUGGGGAAGUUUGGACAAGGGGGGAAACCCGGAUCCAGCCAUCCCGCGGGUAUGAGAAGGCCUUCGGGUUUUAAAGUACUUUUGUCAGAGAAGCGGUAUCUGCAGAAUAAGCACCGGCUAACUACGUGCCAGCAGCCGCGGUAAUUC
rnacentral:rRNA from 1 species